UGAGAUUACAGGCGUGAGCCACCGCGCCCGGCCACUAAAUUUCAAGACUAGAUUUUACUACAUGCACUCUAAAAAAAAUCUGGCUUAAAAAUCCGGUUGGGCGCCAUGGCUCACGCCUGUAAUCCUAACACUUUGGGAGGUUGAGGCAGGUGGAUCGUUUGACGCCAGAAGUUCGAGACCAGCCUGGUCAACAUUGUGAAACCCUGUCUCUAUUAAAAAGACAAAAAUCAGCCAGGC
rnacentral:lncRNA from 1 species